AAAUACACACACACCACAUAUAUUAUAUUUCUACCUUUUCGUCUAUAUAUGUAUUGUGUAUAUACCUAUAUAUAGAUAUAUACACUGACAUCCCUCCACUUAUUCUUGAAAGAUUUGUUUUCCAGAGAGAGAAGAAAAUGGUAUAGGCACAGUUUUCUGUAACUGAUGUAUAACUUUCUGUAACUAAUGGUAUAGGCACAGUUUUCAAUUUGUAUGACCUGAAAAAUCAGUUCUGGCUGGGUGCGGUGGCUCAUG
rnacentral:lncRNA from 10 species